rnacentral:rRNA from 1 species
AUUGAACGCUGGCGGCAGGCCUAACACAUGCAAGUCGAGCGGAUGAAGGGAGCUUGCUCCUGGAUUCAGCGGCGGACGGGUGAGUAAUGCCUAGGAAUCUGCCUGGUUUGGGGGAUAACGUCCGGAAACGGGCGCUAAUACCGCAUACGUCCUGAGGGAGAAAGUGGGGGAUCUUCGGACCUCACGCUAUCAGAUGAGCCUAGGUCGGAUUAGCUAGUUGGUGGGGUAAAGGCCUACCAAGGCGACGAUCCGUAACUGGUCUGAGAGGAUGAUCAGUCACACUGGAACUGAGACACGGUCCAGACUCCUACGGGAGGCAGCAGUGGGGAAUAUUGGACAAUGGGCGAAAGCCUGAUCCAGCCAUGCCGCGUGUGUGAAGAAGGUCUUCGGAUUGUAAAGCACUUUAAGUUGGGAGGAAGGGCAGUAAGUUAAUACCUUGCUGUUUUGACGUUACCAACAGAAUAAGCACCGGCUAACUUCGUG